CCUACGGGUGGCAGCAGUGGGGAAUAUUGGACAAUGGGGGGAACCCUGAUCCAGCCAUGCCGCGUGUGUGAAGAAGGCCCUCGGGUUGUAAAGCACUUUCAGUGAGGAAGAACGCCUGGUGGUUAAUACCCAUCAGGAAAGACAUCACUCACAGAAGAAGCACCGGCUAACUCCGUGCCAGCAGCCGCGGUAAUACGGAGGGUGCGAGCGUUAAUCGGAAUUACUGGGCGUAAAGCGCGCGUAGGUGGCUUGAUAAGCCGGUUGUGAAAGCCCCGGGCUCAACCUGGGAACGGCAUCCGGAACUGUCAAGCUAGAGUGCAGGAGAGGAAGGUAGAAUUCCCGGUGUAGCGGUGAAAUGCGUAGAGAUCGGGAGGAAGACCAGUGGCGAAGGCGGCCUUCUGGACUGACACUGACACUGAGGUGCGAAAGCGUGGGUAGCAAACAGGAUUAGAUACCCCUGUAGUC
rnacentral:rRNA from 1 species